GUGGAUAUAGCUCAGUGGUAGAGUGCAUGCUUAGCAAGCACAGGGUCCUGGGUUCAAUCCCCAGUACCUCCA
rnacentral:tRNA from 1 species